rnacentral:rRNA from 1 species
UACGUAGGGUGCAAGCGUUGUCCGGAAUUAUUGGGCGUAAAGAGCUCGUAGGCGGUUCGUCACGUCGGCUGUGAAAUCCCGAGGCUCAACCUCGGGUCUGCAGUCGAUACGGGCGGACUUGAGUACUGCAGGGGAGACUGGAAUUCCUGGUGUAGCGGUGAAAUGCGCAGAUAUCAGGAGGAACACCGGUGGCGAAGGCGGGUCUCUGGGCAGUAACUGACGCUGAGGCACGAAGGCCAGGGGAGCAAACGGG